GGCUUCGUGGCCUAAUGGCUAGGGCGCUAGAUUUCGGUACUAUUCUGAUUCUCUAGAGAUUGUCGGUUCGAGUCCGGCCGAAGUCG